rnacentral:rRNA from 1 species
AACCGGGGCUAAUACCGCAUAAGUUCGGAAGAAGAAAGUCGCAAGACGCCGAAAGAGGAGCCCGCGGCCGAUUAGCUAGUUGGUGAGGUAAAAGCUCACCAAGGCUUAGAUCGGUAGCCGGCCUGAGAGGGCACACGGCCACACUGGCACUGAAACACGGGCCAGACUCCUACGGGAGGCAGCAGUGGGGAAUCUUGCACAAUGGGGGAAACCCUGAUGCAGCGACGCCGCGUGAGCGAUGAAGCCCUUCGGGGUGUAAAGCUCUUUCGACGGGAACGAUAAUGACGGUACCCGGAGAAGAAGCUGCGGCUAACUACGUGCCAGCAGCCGCGGUAAUACGUAGGCAGCAAACGUUGUUCGGAAUUACUGGGCGUAAAGAGUGUGUAGGCGGUUCGGCAAGUUUGGUGUGAAAUCUCCCGGCUUAACUGGGAGGGUGCGCCGAAAACUGCCAGACUAGAGUACUGGAGAGGAAAGCGGAAUUCCUGGUGUA